rnacentral:rRNA from 1 species
AUUGAACGCUGGCGGCAGGCCUAACACAUGCAAGUCGAGCGCGAAAGUUCUUCGGAAUGAGUAAAGCGGCGGACGGGUGAGUAACACAUGGGAAUCUGCCUGAUAGUGGGGGACAACGUUUCGAAAGGAACGCUAAUACCGCAUACGCCCUACGGGGAAAGGGGGGAGUCGCAAGACCUCUCGCUAUCAGAUGAGCCCAU